GGGAACCACAUGGCCCAGCUAUUUGUCUGGUCUCUUUGGGACCCUUCUCUUUAAAGCAGCCAAAGUGGAUGGUCUUUUAGCCAAAAUGUCACAUUCCUUCUUGAGAGGUGGGGAGGGGAGGGGCUGGCUCCUCUGCUGGUACCACUCAGCAGUAGACCCCAGGCUUUUAGUCCCACCCCUGGAAGCAAGAAGCAGGGACAGCUGAUUAGAGAUCCCAGCACCCGGAGUAGUCAGGGCUUAUCUCUCACUUCAUGGGGAAAGACAACAUCUGGGGUGUUUGAAGACUCCUCCCACUUAGAAGUCCUGACCUAACCGGUCUCUUCCAGAUGCUGAAACUCCCGGUAGUGUCUGUACCUGCUGCCCUUUAAACAGUGGUUUAGACCCUGGGUCAGAGUUGAGAGAGAGAACGUUUCGCCAUGGAUAACUAGACAGCCAACAAGGCUUUGCAUCUUAAGUUUUAGCAGAUCCAGGUCAGGUGUGCACACUGAGGGUCCCUGGGGAAGCUGGCCUCCUGUCCCUCAUCUCAAGAGGCCAAUUUUCCUGUAGAAGAAGAGUAUUUAGUUUGGGUUUGCUCCUGUCUCGUCAAAGCGUUCUUAACUGAGGCCAUCCUCUUCCAUAGAGAGCCUUAGGUGGGUGUGGACACCCAGCACUGGCAGCCACUCGAGGGUCCAAAGUAAGUGGCCUCAGGGAGUGAGGGAGGGGAGGUCAGCUCAGGGCUUGUCUUUAUUUUGCUGGGCACGUGGCAUCUGCUGGGGACCCCCAGGGGUCGUGAAUCAAGCCAUAUGAUGGAGUCUUCCCGCCAAAGGGAGGGCUGGUGUGAAAUUCUGUGUGCAGGGAAUUACAUGGCCUUUGUCUUGUUGCGGGUGACAUAAAGGAACCAAGAAGUGUGAGUGGGUGGGGGGAUGGGAUCAGGCCCCGAGGAGAGCCCUUUAAUGUACUGUGGGUGGGAACAACCACUCUAGGAUCACACUGUAGCCCAUUGGGUCAGGACUGCGUCCACACUAGCCCACAUGUCAGUGUGGUUACUAGAGAUUGCUCUCAGAUGCUUGCAGAAAGAAAAGCUUAGCUUCCUGGGUGCUCAUGUGAACUCACCAAGGGCAUGCACCAAAAGAAUUUGUAAGCAGCCCUCUGUCUGAUGUGCUCAGAAGAUACCCAGUCCACCUGGCUCGUCGGGAUGCAGAGAAGGGACCAAGGGUGCCCUGAGUUGGGGCCAGCCCAAAUGGGGCUUCUAGAUCCUGCUCUUGCCUGCACCUUGCUCACCUACCAUCCAAGUCCUGCAGUUUUCUUACCAGAGUGGUACAGGGCAGUCGAGUGGAGACCUGGCUAUUGUGUGACAGACGGGCAAGAGAUCCCUUCAAAGCAUCCUUGUGAUCAGAGGGGAAAGAUGCCAUACCUUCUUGUUGAAAAUAACCCUUUUCUUGUAUGUAAAACAAUUCCUUUCCCUCCCUACAUUGUGAGGUUUGGGGGGAGGGGGUCGUUUUCUUCUAAAAUGAGAAGCUUCUCAGAUGAGAACUGGUCCUCCAGCCCUGAGCCCUGAGGACUGAAGGGUGUCGAAUCCCAGGAAAGCACAGAAGGUGGCUGGGCCUCUACAACAGCCUGAGGCUGGACCUGCAGAAGACAGGGCCUGGACAUCUUCUUUCCCUCUUCCUUCCCUUCCCCCAGUUCCACCUCGAGUCCUCCUCUUGCCACAAGAGCUUCUUUGCAAAGAGAAACCCCAGACAAGGCCGCGCACCGCUGGCACAUCUCUGGGUAGGGGCAAGGAAGGCCACCUCACCUGCCUAGCCACACACAGAAGGCAGAAGCACAGCGAGGGCUUCUCCAGAGGUGGGUGGCCGAUCAGGGGCAUUUUGAUAUUACCUCAUUCCAUAAUUUUACGUUUCCCGAUGACCGAUGCUUUAUUUAUGCUGUUUGUCCUGUAAUUCAGCCAUCCACAGACAUUUCGCUUUGCUUGUUCGUUCAUGCGACCUUGUUCGGGUUAAAUAUGCUGGUUUGUAUUUUCCUGCCUUGGGAGUUUGUGUCAGCUGUACAGUAUUCUAAGGGGAGAAGAAAAGGAGACGCGUGUAAAGUAAUGGAGAGAGGUAGCUAUAAUGUAGAGACCUCUUUCUAAUAAAGAAAAGAAAAUAUG
rnacentral:lncRNA from 1 species